GUGCGUGCGGUAUGUCGGGGUGGCAGAAGAUGAAAGAGUCAAGGAUGACCCUCCUGUUUCUGGCUAGGGUAUCCGGUGAAUGGUAGGCCAGCAAUGGAGCCAGGCAGUACAGGAGAAGAAAUGUGUUUGCGGGGAAGUUUGAAGAGUCCAUAUUUGGAUAUGUUGAGUUUGAGUGCCUACAGCUGGGGUGUCCAAUCUUUUGGCUUUUCUGGGCCGCACAUAAAACUCUAUCACUAAUGAUAGCUGAUGAGCUGAAAAAAAAUUGCCAAAAAAUCUCAUGUUUUAAGAAAGAUAAGGAAUUUGUGUUGGGCCACAUUCAAAGCUGUCCCGGGCUGCAUGUGGGCCCGCGGGCCAUGGGUUGGACAACUUGGCCUACAGGAUAUUCAGGAGGAUAACUUCAGGAGGAGAUGUUUAGCAGGAAACACAAGGAGAAGUGGGACUGGAGAUAGGAAUCUCUGUGUUAGGGGAACUGUAAAAAGGUUGCUGAUGCAAGUAGGAGAGGAUGCACUAGCUCCAGGAAGAGUGCGCAGAAUGGGAAAAUGGUGAGGGUCAUAUCCUGGUGAGCCCUGAUGGGAACGGGUGGGCCAGAGAAAAAGAAACUCAGGAGAAAGAACUCAGAGAGCAACACUGAGGAUUUAGUGAGAGGAGUAUCACAUGACAGCCAAAGGGCGAGUCAUGGGAGCCGCAGCAGCCUUCCUCUGGCCUGUCCCUGCCAGGCCUCCACACCUCGAUAUGCAGAGAGUCUCACACCACAGAGCAGUCCAGCAGCACAAAGACUGGAACGUGUUUAUUAGACCUGACAUUUAGGAAGCCACUGGCAAACCUGUGGUUGGGAGAGGCAGGCCUCGGCCGACAUGGUAGCUCCAGUCUCAACCGUACCUAUGGCACUGUGGAAGGAGCAUGGGAGUGGAAUUCAUAUGCAGCAAUCAGUCUUGUUCAGCACAGAGGAGGCUUGAUUUUAAAGCUAAACAAAUUUGCAUUUUGGAAUGCAACCAAAGCUAGGCACGGUGCCUCACGCCUGUAAUCCCAGCACUUUGGGAGGCUGAGGCGGGCGGAUCACUUGAGGUCAGGAGUUCGAGACCAGCCUGUCCAACAUGGUGAAACCCUGUCUCUACUAAAAAUACAAAAAUUAGCCGGGUGUCAUAGUG
rnacentral:lncRNA from 10 species